rnacentral:rRNA from 1 species
GACGAACGCUGGCGGCGUGCCUAAUACAUGCAAGUAGAACGCUGAAGGAGGAGCUUGCUUCUCUGGAUGAGUUGCGAACGGGUGAGUAACGCGUAGGUAACCUGCCUGGUAGCGGAGGAUAACUAUUGGAAACGAUAGCUAAUACCGCAUAACAGUAGAUAUCGCAUGAUAUCUACUUGAAAGGUGCAAUUGCAUCACUACCAGAUGGACCUGCGUUGUAUUAGCUAGUUGGUGAGGUAACGGCUCACCAAGGCGACGAUACAUAGCCGACCUGAGAGGGUGAUCGGCCACACUGGGACUGAGACACGGCCCAGACUCCUACGGGAGGCAGCAGUAGGGAAUCUUCGGCAAUGGACGGAAGUCUGACCGAGCAACGCCGCGUGAGUGAAGAAGGUUUUCGGAUCGUAAAGCUCUGUUGUAAGAGAAGAACGAGUGUGAGAGUGGAAAGUUCACACUGUGACGGUAUCUUACCAGAAAGGGACGGCUAACUACGUG